GUUGAUGCAGUAUUUGGCCAGCCACUUGUGUGUAUGUAGGGGACUGAGACAAGUUUAUUUAAUGUUCAGUGACCCGUUUGCAGGCACAGGGGUGUUGACGAGCUGGGUGUGCAGGAGACAGACAAUUACAAAGGUUUACAGUUCAAAUGCUACAUGUAUCUUCAAAAUACAGAUAAUAAGUAGAUAAAUAUUGAAAUUAAUAUAAAAUACCAUUCUUUAUUUAACACUUAACCAAACUUAACCAACAUACACACACACGCUAACUCAGACAGUUCCCUAACUACCUUACCAUCCCGCAGGAGGCCAUGUCGGAGGUGCCGGUGGUGGGGUCGCCAGUUCCGGAGUACGAGGUGGAGGAGGAAAAGGAAGAGGAGGACGAGGAGGAGGCACGGAUAAGGAAGAAGAAAAGAUUAUUAGCUGUAGCCCUCCCUCCAGCUGAUAAGGGGAUAUUAAGGAGCCCUUCCUACAGGUUCGUUCGAUGCAAGGAGUUGGCACAGGAGGCGUCCGAGGCUGUGUAGAGCGGCCGUCUGAACCUGGUGCCACAGCUUACUAUGUUCAACAGAUGCCUGAAGGAAGUGUGUGUGUAAGGGAGGAUAAAGAGAUCAUGCUGGCCUAUGCAGACGAUGUCGCUGUCGUGACAGGAAGCCAACAAGAUCUUCAAGAGGCCAUGACAAGAUGGAAUGAUGUUUUAAAUAGGGAAGGAAUGAGAAUGAACAAACAAAAAACAGAAAAUAAUGAAAGUUGGCAGAAUAAAGGAGGAAUGUAAUAUUUACAUAGAAAACGUUAAACUGAAGCAGACCAACAAAUUUUGUUAUCUGGGAGUACUUUUCGAUGAGGAAAACAGACAGAAUAUAGAAAUUUUAAAUAGAAUACAGAAGUACAAUGCAAAUGUCAGUGCAUUGUAUCCCAUACUUAAAGAUAAGAAUAUUCCAAACAAAAGUUAAAACCAUAAUAUUUACAACAA